GGGCGGUAGCUCACCUGGAGAGAGCGCCGGGGCGACCCGGAGGGUCAGGUUCGACACCUGGACGCCCACCA
rnacentral:tRNA from 11 species